UGUGAUAACCAGAGUCAUUCAAACAUCUGGAGGAGACUUCUUCUCACGUCGUUUCCGCAACGAUGGCCAUGACUUCUGGAAGCUUUUAACAACAUCUCCCUUCCACGUUAUGACGCCAAAACACCUCCGAGAAGAGAACAAAUCAGUUCUCAGGCUUCCUUACAGAACCAUUUCUGAGUCAGCUUCUUCUUCUUCCAUUGCUGAAGUUUCCAGCUUGAAAGUGCAAGCUGCACUUCUCAACAUGAUCGCUGAGCUUUCCAGAGACAAACGCUGUGCUUCAGCUUUAGAUGCAGUUUUGAAGAAAGUUGCAGGCUUGGUCGUUGGGAUAGCGUGCAGCGGCGUAACAGGGUUGAGAGAAGCGGCUUUGAAUGCGUUGAGAGGUUUGGCUUGCGUUGAUUCUGAUCUCAUUUGGAUUCUCUUAGCAGAUGUGUAUUAUUCUCUCAAGAAGAAGAGAGAUUUGCCUCUUCCACCUUCUCCUGAGUUUCCAGAGAUAUCAACGGUUUUGCCUUCACCGGCGGAAGAUUGUCCGGCGAGGUUUCUGUACGUCGAGUACGGUGGUCGGAGCUAUGGUUUUGAGUUGGAGUUUAGUUCUGUUGAGACCAUUUUCAGACUUCUGGAAGCUUUUAACAACAUCUCCCUUCCACGUUAUGACGCCAAAACACCUCCGAGAAGAGAACAAAUCAGUUCUCAGGCUUCCUUACAGAACCAUUUCUGAGUCAGCUUCUUCUUCUUCCAUUGCUGAAGUUUCCAGCUUGAAAGUGCAAGCUGCACUUCUCAACAUGAUCGCUGAGCUUUCCAGAGACAAGCGCUGUGCUUCAGCUUUAGAUGCAGUCUUGAAGAAAGUCGCAGGCUUGGUCGUUGGGAUAGCCUGCAGCGGCGUAACAGGGUUAAGAGAAGCGGCUUUGAAUGCGUUGAGAGG
rnacentral:lncRNA from 1 species